CUUUUCUUGCUUUCAACAGCACAUGACAGAAGCCACUGAGAAAAAACUCUUUUUUUCACAGACUGAGACACCACAUAUAAAAGAGAAAUGAAAGAUAAAUAGUUGGCACCAAAGUAAAAACUGCAAAUCUUAUGUUAUGUGAUCUUAGCAGGCAAGGUCAGUGUCAAGCGAGCCCCAAAUGGAUACCCAACCAAGCACCUUCAGAGACCUUCUCCGAUUCUUACCCUGAAGAAGCCUGAAUUUGGAGGCUUUCAGUCACUGAGGGAAUUCAAAGAAUAUCUCUCCUUCCUUUUGCAACAGUAGUCUAUAGGCAGGGACUUCCACAGAUAUCCUGAACAGCACAAGUCUCAGCUUUGGUAAUCCCAUGGACUUCCUGCAUGUUACGAAGUGAACACAAUAUUCCAGUACUAUUCUCCCAAGUCCAGCCACAAUGACUUCUCCUAUUCUUUGCUUCCUUGUCCCGUCGUUGUUUCUAGCGCUGUUCCACCCUACUGAUAUUACCAGCUGAGGUAGUCAUGUUAAAAUAUUUGAACCAAAAAGAGUAGUGAAAUAUCUGAUUAUUUUUCAGGAUUUUUAGCCAGAGUUAGAUGCCAUGUUCUUUUAUCAUGGUCCCCUUGCAGGACUUGGAUGGCACUGUGGCAAGACAGAAUAACAUUUUUGUGCCGCAACAAGAGAAUGCAUAGUUCUGAUCAAAUUAAAACCUAUCUACCUGAGAGUGUACUCCUGAGAGGCAAGUAACAAGAAAGGUUUUCUUUGCCCUUAUUAUUUCAGAAUAUUAACUGUUGCAAAGGGUUCUUUAUAAGCAUAAUACACCCAGCCCAUCUAUAUUCCAUCUUAUCACUUUAGAAGAGUGGAAAUGAGUAGAAUUUUUCUCCGGGAGUUAUGAGGAACGGUUCUAUUUUGAGCAUUUUUACUGCCUUGUGGAGGUCAUGCUGGCAUUUCUGAGAGCUACUUCAGACUUUGCAAAAUUUUUUCAUUAUGUUGUUUUCUGCUGGGGACUAUAAUUCUUUAAUCUAAAACCCGGCUGACAUUAGUGUCAAGAAAUAAAACCAUGAGCACAAAACUCGUAUUCCUAGAGUAGCUCUCCAAUCUGCACAGUGCUCCACUGUUAUCAGCUGAAACAUCAUUUAUGUGAUGUUUACUGCUAUUCAGUUCAAAUUCUGCAAAUGCAGCAGUCUUUACUGUAAGCUUGUGUAAUUCUUGUUCUUAGAAGUAACUAAUUACAUCAUGAAACCAGAAGUGAUUGAUAAUGGCUUUUUAAAAUUGAACUGUACCUAGCAACUGGACACUCGUGCCCUGUAGAUGGAACAUUAAAGUCACUGGAAACGAUUUCUUUUGAAACUUCACAAAUUACUAAAAGCAUCAUUAAAGAUUUGCAGACAGUCUGGAACCUAGCAUUAUUUUCUUCAAAUAGACCAAGUCAUUUUCUCUCACCAUCAGCUUUUCUUUUUAUCUAAGAGAAUCAUCUAAUUCAUCUGUGCUGCCAGAUAUGUAGAAAGUUAAAGCUUCAGGACUGAACAGGAUUGAGCAACACCAUGUAGGUUACAAUUGCUGGUAUGUAUUUCACUAGCAGCGAAACACUGCCCAGGAGCAGAGGGACUUUUUCAGGUCAUGCAGUGAUCACAAGCACUUGAUGAUCACAAGCUACCAGGUCAUAAUAUUCAGUAUUACAUACCUCAAAUUCCCUCUUUGGUUUAGUUAUGCUUGUGUUAAAAACUUUUCCAACAUCCCACUAGCAGAAGAAAAUAACAAGUGAAUCUCUUCCCCUUUUAACCACACUCAUAGUUUAAUGGGCAUCCAUCAAACACCUCUGUUCCUGAGCCACGUUUUUUUCAAUUUUAGUAAUUUCAUUAAUGGAGCUGUAGGAUCACUUCAUGAAAACAGCUGUGGUAAUGGUUAAUGUCGUAUUUUCUAUGCUGCUAAUUUUUUCACUUGUUAGCCUGAUAAAAACUUUGAAUCCUAAACUCCUGUGUUCCAGUUUCCUUUUUGCUUCUUACCAGCUCCUAACAUUUUUGCU